UUGCGCUUAGAUUGUAACCCUUGAAUAAUCAGAUCAGUGACGAAAAAGGAGAGGGUCCAUUCGCAUUAGGGACUAGGGUAUAAAACAGGGACUGCGAGCCCCCUUUCUGGGCACCCACUAGCUGCACACUAGGGUGCCUCCUUCUCAUGAGAAGAAAAUAAAGAACCUUUGUCACUUUACUGCUGAGUUCCCAAGAAUUAUUGAGAAGAGGAUGGAUUUUUCCCUCACACUCAGGAGUUUUGCUGCCAACAGAGUUUGAUAUUCCUGCUAUAAGGAGACCUAGCAGGGCACCCCUGGUGACCCUUGGUAGAGAUGGCUGGACCCUUCUGAACAAAAGAGGCUUCCACAGAUGAUGGCUGUGAGGACAGAGCUAAAAGAAGGAAUGACAGACUGGAGAGAUGCUGCCACUUCCAAGAGUGCCUCAUUGCUUGAGAUAGGCUGUCCUCUGUCCUAUGAAUGGCAGUUGGUGCAGAUAGCCACAGCACAGGACACUUAAGAGCGAGAAUAGCUGCUGUCAUGGUGUUUCCACAGAUUUGCAACACCAGGUUAAGGUCUCUUCAUAAGAAAAUGGACCCUCUCCAAAUUCCGAGGACAAAUGUAUUACAGUGACUGCCCUAUCUUGGUAGGAAAUCUGUGAAGCAGGUGCUGUACCCAUACCAGCAGCUCCAAAGAAUCUGCACAGUUUGUGAGAUACCAAUCUCUCUCCCUUAGAAAUUGCAACUAUUAUAUGGGUGCAGUGUGGUGUUUUACUUAUUUUUUGAGUUAAAUAAAUAUGGUCAGAAUCAUCAAGAGUUAUUCACAAUUUUUGACAUUGGUGAGGAUCCUGUACCCCUAAAACCUACUCCUCACCCCCUCAUCCCAAUGCUAAAGGAUGACUAUAUAUAUAUAUUUUUUAUCAGCAUAUUUAAAGAAGAUGUACUUCACAGAUGGAUCACAGAAUGUUAAUGCUAAAAGGGACCUUAAAGAUCAUGUUGUUACUUCUUAAUUUUAUAGAUAAGGAAGCCAAAACAGAGAAAUGGUAGCUCACUGAAGGUCACAUAACAACAUAAUGGUCAAGCCUACCACUCUUUUUUCAAACUCAUUCUACUACAGCACAGCUUAUAUAUUAAAUAUUUGAACAGGAAUAUAAUUGAUUAUUAUAAAUCAAUGGAAUCUCUACAUGUAACUGGAAAAUAAUAAAAUACUUUUAUUUUUAAAAAAUCAAUGGAGAGAGGCAGCUAGGUGGUGCAGUGGAUAAAGCACUGGACCUGGAUUCUGGAGGACCUGGUACUUUCUAGCUGUAUGACCCUGGGCAAGUCACUUAACCCUCAUUGCCCCCACCCAAAUAAAUAAAUAAAUAAAUGGAGAGGAAAAAAAAAAUGAAAGAAAAUCAAUGGAAAGUCAUGUGAUUACAAACUCAAGAUAUCAGUGUUUUAAGUUUUUCUUACCUCUAAGCCAAAGAAAGCUUGUACGCUAUUUGUCCUAUCCAGACAAUCCAAGCAGUUUGUUCGAAUAGUACCAUUCUGAGAUCUGUAUCAAAUUAAGUGAAAUAAGGCAAAUCAAUAAGAUUCAUCAAUAUAAACAAUACAAAGGCAAAGGUUAGAUGAAAAUCAAGGUAAUCUAAUUAAUUCAUAGUAUUAUUAUAUACUCAUCUUUAAAAGUCAGUGGGUUACCCACACACACACAAAAAAGGCAGUGGGUUACAUCAAUUUUGGGAAUGGCUAAGCAAAAAUUCUGUUAAAUUAAUUUAAUGGAAAAUCAUUGUGUCAUUAAAAAACCUCAAAUAUUUGGAAUUGAGAGAAUAGGGAGAUUUGAAUGAACUUAAGAAAAAAUGAAGUAAGAAAAACUAGGAAUUUGUACAAUGACAACAAUAUGAAUAAAGAAACUGAAUGUACUGUAACCAUAAUGACCAAUCUUGGCCAUUAUCCAUACAAAGAAGGGUGGGAGAAUUAUGGAUAUGUUCAAUAGACUGUCAGACACAGCUGAUUUAUCAGUUGGUUAAGUUUAAUUGGCUCUAAAAAAAUUAUUGCAGAGAUAGGUUCCCUGAGGAGGGGGAGGAAGGGGUGCAUUCAAAAAUUACCAAUAUAAAAAUUUAAGGUUAUCAAUAAAA